ACCAAAAAAAAGAUAUAAAAACACUGAAAAUCGGAGACUGUGGAAAAACUGAACCUCAUUUUCUAUGCCAGUGCCGCUGCCAAAUGUCAAAUGUCGAAUUGAGCAAUGAAAUGUAAACUUUUCAUUUGCCGCCGCCAACAGGAAACAAAAGCACAAAAGAAAUUGCAGUGUACAAAAAUGGACAGUCAAAAAUGUUACCAAUCAAAUGAAAUGUAAUCAAACGGAAUGAACAGGACAGCGGGGAGACAUCAAAUCGAGCAACGAUUUUUGGUGCUCACUCGGUGACGAUUUGCUAUACUUAAAAGGUGUCCUAUUUUUAGACGGAAGUUACGCAUUUGACAGAUCUUAGUUUUCUUCCAGUGCUGGGCUGUGAAAAUCUUGUGCCGCCCUGGAUGCCUGAGCAUAUUACGCUGCCUGUCUUCCAGUGGCAGGCGGCAGUCAUUAACAACCGGAGAUGAGUUUGGUUUAAUGCGGUUGCCGUUUACAAAUGGAAUUUUUUAGUGGCUCGGCAGCCAGUCAGAAUGCCAGGCGGCAUAAGGCACCAGGCACAGGGAUGUGCAGCCGGAGUAAUGGCAGCCUAAAGGAUGCAGGAUUUGGCAACGGAAGUCACUUUUGCGGGACUAACGGAAAUGCAGCCAGUCAUCAUCACCGAAACGCAAAAACUUGGCAUUCUUACUUUUAGAUUAUUCCAUCUGCCGGUCGGUCAAGGUGCAGCUGCAAUCGCAUAGAGUGGUGUGUUUGCAGGGCGAGGAAACAUGAAAAUACUAAUACCCUAAUACUGCCCGGUCAUUUUUCUAUGCGCACUCGGACGAGCAUUUAAUCCAUCUCCAUCAAAACGAAUGAAUCUCCAAAUCAUUUCAUUUCCCAGGCAAGAACAAGUGCUCUUGCAGUUGAUAAAGCUGCU